GCGAAGGUGGCGGAAUUGGCAGACGCACUAGCUUCAGGAGUUAGUGUCUUUAUAAAGACGUGAGGGUUCAAACCCCUUCCUUCGCA
rnacentral:tRNA from 1 species